GGAGACGCCCUGGGCUGGCCAAAGUAAGAAAUGAUGAGUUAUAAAUGCUGGUUGUUAAAUGACUGCUCUAUAGUCACUCUGUAGUCAUUAUUAUUAAUGUAAUAACUAUUACAUUAUUAAUGUCAUAAUGCAACGCACAAACAUUUUGCACGUUUUUUACUCAUUCCCAUAGAUCCAUCCACUUCUUUCAAUUUCCUUGUCUUCCUGUCCUUUGAUCAACUAUCCAAGCCAUUAUUCAUUGGCCAGGAGUCCGUGUGCAUCUGGGCCUCAUGCUUCUCUUCCUCUAUUUCAAGUGACAAAGCAAUACACUCUUCGAAGCACUGCCCAUAGAGAAGAAUUUCCUUCACCACUGUUUUCAAGUCCAGUGUAAGUGGGGUUAUUUUAUGACAACAGUCAAUUUUCAGACAAUUCAUCUAUAAACUGGACCCAAUUUUUUCUUUCUCUGCAAUAGGUUGAGGGAGAGGCAUCUGUUCAAGAAAGGUGACAUGACAGGCGCAAUGGAUGUAGUUAGACAUCCUGUCCAUAAAAACUGCAGAAGAGACCAUCAACCACGAAGAAAUGUCCCGAUCUUCACCCCUGUUGUUGAAUCUCUAUAUAGAUGAGGUUUGAUCUGCAGAGGUCUAAUUUGCAGUUCAAGUGUGGAUCAGAAAAACAUCAUCCUCGAGUUGUUGAGUCAUAUGUUAAAUUAUCUGUUGGGAUGGUGGUUGAAUAGAAGAAUUUAAGACUCUGAACAAAAGACAUUGAGCAAAAUGUUUCCUAGAACUGCAAAGCUUGAUUCUAAAAUGUAUAAAGAAAAACAAGAUUAAGAAUAGCCAAGGCUUUCUGGAAGAAAACCUAGAUGGAGAAAAUUGCCUUACCAGGUAAAGACAUAUUGAAAAGCUAUAACAAUGAAAACAGUGUAGAUAGUAAAAGAACAGUGAAGAUAGUAUAGAACAGUAAAAACAAACAAACAAACAAAGAACCCAGAAUCAAAUCCAAGAACUUAAGGAAAUGUGCUGCCAGACCAAGCUCAGACUGAAGAAUGAUGAGGAUGGGCAGGUCAUUCAAGGAGCGGCGCUGGGACCAUUGAUAAUCAAAUAAAAAUUUAGUGGUCUCCCUCUCCCA
rnacentral:lncRNA from 1 species